UACGAAGGGGGCUAGCGUUGCUCGGAAUCACUGGGCGUAAAGCGCACGUAGGCGGAUCUUUAAGUCAGGGGUGAAAUCCUGGAGCUCAACUCCAGAACUGCCUUUGAUACUGAGGAUCUCGAGUCCGGGAGAGGUGAGUGGAACUCCGAGUGUAGAGGUGAAAUUCGUAGAUAUUCGGAAGAACACCAGUGGCGAAGGCGGCUCACUGGCCCGGUACUGACGCUGAGGCGCGAAAGCGUGGGGAGCAAACAGG
rnacentral:rRNA from 1 species